GAUGAACGCUGGCGGCGUGCCUAAUACAUGCAAGUCGAGCGAACGGACGAGAAGCUUGCUUCUCUGAUGUUAGCGGCGGACGUGUGAGUAACACGUGGAUAACCUACCUAUAAUACUUGGAUAACUUCGGGAAACCGUAGCUAAUACCGGAUAAUAUUUUGAACCGCAUUGUUCAAAAGUGAAAGACGGUCUUGCUGUCACUUAUAGAUGGAUCCGCGCUGCAUUAGCUAGUUGGUAAGGUAACGGCUUACCAAGGCAACGAUGCAUAGCCGACCUGAGAGGGUGAUCGGCCACACUGGAACUGAGACACGGUCCAGACUCCUACGGGAGGCAGCAGUAGGGAAUCUUCCGCAAUGGGCGAAAGCCUGACGGAGCAACGCCGCGUGAGUGAUGAAGGUCUUCGGAUCGUAAAACUCUGUUAUUAGGGAAGAACAUAUGUGUAAGUAACUGUGCACAUCUUGACGGUACCUAAUAAGAAAGCCACGGCUAACUACGUG
rnacentral:rRNA from 1 species